AGGAGGGCCCCUUCGUGCCUGGACCCCUAUUUCCUUCUCCGGCAGCACUUCCGACUCCGGAGAGAGCAGCGGCCUAUCUGCUCCUCGCUGGGCAGGCAGCUCAGCAGUGCGCAGCGGCCGCCCCGGAUUCGGCAGUAGUACCUCUGCGCCGCGCCGAUGAGCCCUCCGCGGCCUGCGAGGGAAGAUCAGAGGGAGGUCUGCGGUGGGAACAGGAGAGACCGGGAGCCUGCCCCGAGGCCCUUGGUGACUUGUCAGCCGAAGACAAUGAGGACACCUCAUUCCCACCCAGGGAAUCCUGGAGGACGGAGAGGCCCGACUGCGCUGCACCCUUGGGUGCUCCCAGCCCUUUCCCACCUGCCUUACCUGGAACAGGCAUGGAGAACAGGAAGAGCAACACACCCAGCAGAUAGAGGACCCGCAUGGCCGGCAGGCUUGGCAGCAGGCUGAGACUGGACGGAAAGACAGGCUCUCCAGGGAACCAGAUUAAUCCAGCUGUGAACUUACUCAGAACUAGAGGACAGGACUGACCUCAGGUUGCCCGUGGUGACAGGCUCCCCUCAGGAACCCACGCAAGGGCCUGGUGGACACAGACCGGCUGCUGAGCUUUGGGAAGGGAGGACACGUGGGCAAGGCCAUUCCAUGUCCCUUUUCUGCACCAACUCUCUGCAGAGAGCUCCCCUGGAGCCUCACCGGAUCCCUGCUCCAGAUCCCCCCAGGGCCCUCCUUCAGGGGAGCACCAGGCUUACCUGAUUCUGCCUGGGAGAAAACCACACGAACAAGGAGAAUGGAGAGCAAGUUCAUGUGGAAUGGCCCCUCUGAGGACGCCCCGGGCAGGCGCAGGACCCGUGUCUCCAGGGCGACCCUCGGGAGCGCCUGCUGCCCUGGAGCUGGUGGAGGAGCAGAGAUCCCUGCAGGGCCCGCUCAGCUGACUAGGACUUGGUGCCAUGCUCAGUCGGCUGGGGCUUAGAGCCUGACUGUGCUUGGACACCCUCAGGUUGACUCCCGCAGCUGAGGCUGCCCGCGUGAGUGCAGCUUCCUCUUUUCUUUCCUUCUCCACUGGACUCGGAUAAUCUGAUGGUACCCUUUUCAAGCGAGAAAGCAGUUCACCUAGAGCAUGACCUCAGAAGAGCUGACAGAGACAUACACAGGGUUCUAAGACCCGUUCUCCCUGACUGCUCCCGGGCGGGGCUGUGUGGUCAAGUUCAAUAUCUAGAAAACGCUGUGGACAUUGGCUGUCAGGAGUGCGGACUUGGCACUGGACACAAAGGUAAAGGAUACGUAGUUUGGGGCUUUGUGUUCUUCACUAUUUCCAAGUCUUACAGUAGAAGAGCCACAGACACUGACGUGGUAGCAAAGUAAAAGACGUGCUUUCCAUUUUCUCCUGACCUUCUGAUGGCUGUCUUUGAUUCUUUAAGGACGUUCUCUUCCUUCUCCUUUCCCCAAAGUCACCCAAAUGGGACAUCUUCAAGCAUUUGACAUUAUUGGCUGGGCCUGAUGAUGCACGUCUGUAAUCUCUGCGGUCAGGGGACUGAGGCAGGAGGAGCACAAGUUCAAAGUCAGCCUCAGCAACUUAGUGAGACCCUGUCUCUCAAAACGAUAAAAAACUGGGCUGGGGUGUGGCUCAGGGGUUGAGUGUCUGGGUUCAAUCACCAAUACCAAAAAAAAAAAAGAACUUGACAUUAUGUCAUGAUGAGAAGGUGGACGUCGUAUCCUUCCUUCUCCUUUUCCUUCUCCUCACUCAUCGUCGCUGAUAUUCGCUGAUCGGAUUCUGUGCACCAGGCACGAUGCUGGACACUUUAUGUGCAUUUACUUCAUGUGAGUCACAUGGAAGUUGAUACGAUAUCUGCAUUUCACAGGUGAGGAAAUGGCAUCUUGGGGGAGGACUUUGGAUACCCCAUGCUUUAGCAUGAUUUCUCCUGAGGAAUUUAGAGGACUAAAUUCCUCCUCCUGAUCCUCUUCUUGCCCCACACGGUGCUUGGAGGUGGUUAUCUAGGCUUCUGUCCACCUGACUUCCAUCUUCAUCUCUAUGCUGAAGCCUCUCCCCUGUUUUCCUGACUGCGCGUUCAUCUUCUUGAAGAUCAUCACCACCUUAAUAACAUCUAGCACCUCAGUUUACAAUAAAGUCGUUCCUUUCUAACGGUAUCACCCUCACUUCCAAAACUGCGUGGUGAUUCUUUGGGAUUCUUCUCUUUCCCUAACGACUCGGAUGCAGUCCACUCCAUCCGGUCGAUGUUGCAGUGGGAUGGUCCGUGCAGUCUGCAGAGCCCAGGCCAAACGCCCAGUCCUAGUGAGGAUGGCCACCCGGCCGACUGCCCCACCCAGCACUCGAGCGGAGCGUGUUUGCGUCACAGUUGGAGCCUCUGCCCAAGUCCUUCGCGAGUAUCAUCGCUGUCUGUGGACAUUUCCCACUGCCUCUCUAGACGGCAUGGGUGUACUUUGAUUUGUUUCCUUAUGUUAAUGAGAAAGUAAAUUUGUCUUCACUCUUUAAAUUAUAGGAAAAUUUUCAAACUAGGACACGUGGGGCAAGUCUUGUAAAGAAGAAGUCAUUCUAGAAGAGUGGGGAAAUGGAGCGAACCUGGGCAGGGACAGGAUGGGUGGUUGUGCCAUUUAUGAGGAGGCCUGAAGUGCGAGGCCUGGAGGCAGUGAAGUGAGACGUGAUCUGGAGAGAGAGCCAGGCCGAGUCACUCCGUCCUCUAACAGGCUCCAACUGGUUCAGGAAUCUGCAGCCUGGGCUGGCCGUGGUGCUGCAGGCCUUUCCCACAGUCUCCAAAAUCAUAGCUGGCCAGUGGGGGCUGACUUCCUGGCUCCUGGGGCUGACUCGGGAGGGAGCUGAAGUUUUGGAAGAGUGGUUUUCCAGAGGAAAGGUAAAUGGACCACAUUUGUAGAGAAUGAAUAACAGAGGAGGGGGAGUGAAGCCACACCCCUCCACUGGCCCAGACCACAGAGCUCCUUCCGUUUCGAGAAUCCCCAGCUAUCCAGCUCAUGGAAGUGAACACCGCAGCAUUCACCAUGCUGGAGACCAAGAGAAAUUCAAGCAAAAGAUGAAUUUGGCAUCUUACUCUGCUCUUGCAUUUUCUUCAAAGAGCUUUAGGCUUGCAUUUCUCAGGGGCGGGCAAACCUGUAGUAUAAAGGGCACCGGUCAGUGUGUGUGUUGAGGUUUUGCUGGCCAUGUGGUUUCUGCUGUGAGUGCUCAGCUCUGCAGGGGUAGUGCAAAAGCAAUCAUAAC